AUGUAGUGGUUUUGAUGAUGAUGAUGAUGACAACGUUUAUGACGAUGAUUAUUAUGAAGACGACGAUGAUGUCGUCAUCAUCAUCAUCAUCAUUAACG
rnacentral:pre_miRNA from 1 species